rnacentral:tRNA from 1 species
GGGCUCGUAGUUCAAUGGAUAGAAUAGGGGAUUCCUAAUCCCUAGAUGCAGGUUCGAUUCCUGUCGAGCCUA